rnacentral:lncRNA from 10 species
CUCAGAGGUAACACAAGGCUUGAUGUUCUGCACCCCAGGAAACCCCUCGGUCCCAGACAAAUGGAGAAGAUUGGGCAUCCUCCUGUAGGAGUUUACAAGCUGAUCAUGUUGGGAAAACCAUGUCUUUUAAAAGAAUCCAUGAUUCACUUUGAACAAAUCAGAGACCGACACAAACUAGCAAGUCUUCUAAGCCACAAUGAGACAGAAGUCCACAUUUUCAGUCCUCCAUUUGAGAAACUGUCUUCCUAAAUUCAUUGUUCUUCCUGAAGCACGCUCCCGACUGAAUCACCUGCACCCCAAUUACUGCCUCGGGCUCUGCUUCUAAGGAACUUCAACAGCAAUAAAGUCAAAGACCCUUAGAAAUUUUUCUAGAUGUGGUGUGACUGGCUAUAAUUCCAAGCUUUUUUGGUACUAGCAUUUUGUGUCUUUUGAAUGUAUCACUACAUGGAAAUGGCCUUUAGUGAUAAAGCAAGAAGGGCUGGACUAUUGAUAUUAAAAUGAACUUCCCUGAGUGCCAUCAAAUUAUCUUACCUUUUCUCUCCUUCUUACACGCUGUUCCCCACGGUUAGAACAAUUUUCAGCUUAUUUUUUGUCUAGAAAAUUUUAACUUAUCCUCAGUUUAGAUUCCUUUAAGGAGCCCUCCCAGAUCUCUCCCCACCCUGCCUUCCAAAAUUUAUGUUAGGUGUCUCUCAUGUAGUCCUGUAAUACAGUACAUUCUCUAGACAUGAUAGAU